rnacentral:rRNA from 1 species
GAUAAACGCUGGCGGCGUGCUUAACACAUGCAAGUCGAACGAAGUUUUUCCUUCGGGAGAAACUUAGUGGCGGACGGGGGAGUAACGCGUGGGUAACCUGCCCUGUACAGGGGGACAACAGCUGGAAACGGCUGCUAAUACCGCAUAAGCCCUUAGCACUGCAUGGUGCAUAGGGAAAAGGAGCAAUCCGGGACAGGAUGGACCCGCGUCUGAUUAGCCAGUUGGCAGGGUAACUGCCUACCAAAGCGACGAUCAGUAGCCGAUCUGAGAGGAUGUACGGCCACAUUGGGACUGAGACACGGCCCAGACUCCUACGGGAGGCGGCAGUGGGGAAUAUUGCACAAUGGAGGAAACUCUGAUGCAGCGACGCCGCGUGAGUGAAGAAGUAUUUCGGUAUGUAAAGCUCUAUCAGCAGGGAAGAAAAUGACGGUACCUGACUAAGAAGCACCGGCUAAAUACGUG